GAUGAAGAACGCAGUGAAAUGCGAUAAGUAAUGUGAAUUGCAGAAUUCAGUGAAUCAUCGAAUCUUUGAACGCACAUUGCGCCCUGUGGUAUUCCGCAGGGCAUGCCUGUUCGAGCGUCAUUUCAACCCUCAAGCUCUGCUUGGUGUUGGGCCCUGCCCGCUGCGGCCGGCCCUAAAGACAGUGGCGGUGCCGCCUGGCCCUGAGCGUAGUACAUCUCUCGCUCCAGUGCCCGGUGGUAGCCUGCCAGAACCCCAACUCUCGUGGUUGACCUCGGAUCAGGUAGGGAUACCCGCUGAACUUAAGCAUAUCAAUAAGUGGAGGA
rnacentral:misc_RNA from 1 species